CCCAGACUCCUACGGGAGGCAGCAGUGGGGAAUAUUGCACAAUGGGGGAAACCCUGAUGCAGCAACGCCGCGUGAGUGAAGAAGUAUUUCGGUAUGUAAAGCUCUCUCAGCAGGGAAGAAGAAGGACGGUACCUGAGUAAGAAGCCCCGGCUAACUACGUGCCAGCAGCCGCGGUAAUACGUAGGGGGCAAGCGUUAUCCGGAUUUACUGGGUGUAAAGGGAGCGUAGACGGCGAAGAAAGUCUGAAGUGAAAGCCCGCGGCUCAACCGCGGAAUGGCUUUGGAAACUUUUUUGCUGGAGUACCGGAGAGGUAAGCGGAAUUCCUAGUGUAGCGGUGAAAUGCGUAGAUAUAAGGAAGAACACCAGUGGCGAAGGCGGAUUACUGGACGAUAACUGACGGUGAGGCGCGAAAGCGUGGGGAGCAAACAGGAUUAGAUACCCUUGUAGC
rnacentral:rRNA from 1 species